CGGGGACCGCGGCUCCCGGCGGGGGCGGGAGACGGAGUUCUCGUGAAGGGACGGCGGCGGGCGCUCACUUUCUGAAGCGGCGGCCUCUCCUCACGGGGCUCUGCGCCUCUCUGCGCGCUCGGGCGGAGCCGGUGCUCCGGGACCCCGCGCAGCCCACCCGAGCGCAGCCCUGCUCGUGUUAUGUGAGCCUGUGGCAACUGCUGAGCGGCAGAGCUGCCCUCCAGGAACUCCCUGCUCGCUUGAGUGAGGAGAGGAUGAGGAGAAGGAGCGCUCCCGUUCGCGCGGCCGGGCACUCAUCUAAACACUCAUCACCACAGAAUCUGAACAUCUCAGUCUAUUAAAGCCUGGAUAGAAGUGUAGUGCUGCCCGUACCAUUCCCCUGACGUGAAGAGUUAUACGUGGACUCAGCCUACACGCCUGGAAGGCAGCCAUUCUGGGAAUAAUUAUACUUAUGACUCAACACACAUACUCAGCUAUUAAUAUGUUUACAGAAGCAGACCUGACAUUGUCUAGAAUUAUUGUAGGAUAAUUUUACUGUUACUGGUUGUAUGGUCUAAAACCAAAUUGCUUUUUCUUUUGUUGGUUUCUGAAUAACAAUAAAAGGAUACAUUGCCUUAGUGGGCGUUAAUAGUAAUUAUUUUUCCAACAAGUAUGUUAGGUUGCCCUUUAGAGUCUUUGCUAGAAACAAACGGAAUUUAAAGAAGUCUCUUGUCAUUAGAUGAAAACAAUUCACAGAUAUUUUAAAUAUUUGGUGAAAUGACAAUAAACGUCUGAAGUAAUAGUUU